AGAGCCCAAACCGGCGGUGUUUCGGCACCGACCGGGGUUGUAGGACCGUCAACAAAUGGAUAAGAUAAAGUUAGCCGAAUCCUCUGGAAAGAGGAGCCGCAGCGGGUGACAGCCCCGUAGGCGAAAACGGAUUCUUGACAGAGACGGCACCUGAGUAAGCCGGGACACGAGAAAUCCUGGCCGAAUCUGCGGGGACCAUCCCGUAAGGCUAAAUACUA
rnacentral:rRNA from 1 species